ACGAACGCUGGCGGCGUGCUUAACACAUGCAAGUCGAACGGAAAGGCCCUGCUUUUGUGGGGUGCUCGAGUGGCGAACGGGUGAGUAACACGUGAGUAACCUGCCCUUGACUUUGGGAUAACUUCAGGAAACUGGGGCUAAUACCGGAUAGGAGCUCCUGCUGCAUGGUGGGGGUUGGAAAGUUUCGGCGGUUGGGGAUGGACUCGCGGCUUAUCAGCUUGUUGGUGGGGUAGUGGCUUACCAAGGCUUUGACGGGUAGCCGGCCUGAGAGGGUGACCGGGGACAUUGGGACUGAGAUACGGCCCAGACUCCUACGGGAGGCAGCAGUGGAGAAUAUUGCACAAUGGGCGGAAGCCUGAUGCAGCAACGCCGCGUGCGGGAUAACGGCCUUCGGGUUGUAAACCGCUUUCGCAUGUGACGAAGCGUGAGUGACGGUAAUGGGUAAAGAAGCACCGGCUAACUACGUG
rnacentral:rRNA from 1 species